CCUACGAGGGUCAGCAGUGAGGACUAUUGGUCAAUGGGCGGAAGCCUGAACCAGCCAAGUAGCGUGCAGGAUGACGGCCCUACGGGUUGUAAACUGCUUUUAUACGGGAAUAACGCGCCUUACGUGUAGGGCUUUGCAUGUACCGUAUGAAUAAGGACCGGCUAAUUCCGUGCCAGCAACCGCGGUAAUACGGAAGGUCCGGGCGUUAUCCGGAUUUAUUGGGUUUAAAGGGAGCGUAGGCCGCAUGUCAAGCGUGCUGUGAAAUGUCCGGGCUCAACCCGGGCCUUGCAGCGCGAACUGGCGUGCUUGAGUCCGCGGAAAGCAGGCGGAAUUCGUCGUGUAGCGGUGAAAUGCUUAGAUAUCAGGAGGAACAUCGGUGGCGAAAGCGCUUUACUGGACCAUUAUUGACGCUGAGGAACGAAAGCCAGGGGAGCAAAUGGGAUUAGAUACCCGGGUAGUC
rnacentral:rRNA from 1 species